rnacentral:rRNA from 1 species
AACGAACGCUGGCGGCAUGCCUAACACAUGCCAGUCAAACGAGACCUUCGGGUCUAGUGGCGCACGGGUGCGUAACGCGUGGGAACCUGCCCUUAGGUUCGGAAUAACUCCCCGAAAGGGGUGCUAAUACCGGAUAAUGUCUUCGGACCAAAGAUUUAUCGCCUUUGGAUGGGCCCGCGUUGGAUUAGCUAGUUGGUAGGGUAAAAGCCUACCAAGGCGACGAUCCAUAGCUGGUCUGAGAGGAUGAUCAGCCACACUGGGACUGAGACACGGCCCAGACUCCUACGGGAGGCAGCAGUGGGGAAUAUUGGACAAUGGGCGAAAGCCUGAUCCAGCAAUGCCGCGUGAGUGAUGAAGGCCUUAGGGUUGUAAAGCUCUUUUACCCGGGAUGAUAAUGACAGUACCGGGAGAAUAAGCUCCGGCUAACUCCGUG